UAGUGAUUUUCAGCCUGAAAAUGUUCCUCUGUGCCGUUUUACAUACAGGUGUGACAACCCCCCCUUCCGUGAUCCCCAAACAGGGGAUUUGAGAAGAAAUACCCAAAUAAAAAGCACAUUUCUUGCAGCAUUUUUGACUGUAGGUGCCUGUACUACAGAAGUAACACUCUGCUCACCACCUGGUUGCCAUUUCCAUGUAGAUACACUUGUGCUGCUCCCUCUGUUUGCUGCUUUAAAAAUCACAGGAAGGCUGUGACCUACAACGAGGCUGGUCUUCCCUUUUUACAUUUAUUGAGAACCCUUUUUAUCAUUUAGUGGUUAUUUUGCCACUGAACAAAGCAUCCAUCAUUCACCUAAACCUUCAAGUUUCAGCGUUUUGUGAUCUGAACUUUUUGGUGUGUUUUUGAUUGUUGGUUUUUUUUUUGUCAGAGUUGCUUGUGCUUUUCAGGCAGCACUGAAAAUGUGACUUUUCAGUGUAUUGUCAGGUGUUUUUCACAUCAAAGGUUUCUUCUCUUGAUUUCUAGGUGACAAUAUCAGAGAGUUCUUGCUGAGUCUCAGGUAUUUUCGAAUCUUCAUUGCCUUGUGGAAUAUCUUCAUGAUGUUCUGCAUGAUUGUGUUAUUUGGAUCUUGAAAGUCACACACAAACACGUCUGUUACCUCGGAAGAGACUUUUGGCUGGGAACAAACUUUUCUUAAAAGAUUCCAAUGCUUUCAAACUGCAGCCCUGGGCUCGUGGCUUGUCCCCCCCAGCCCAUCGUGUGCUGGUCACUCACUGCCGGGGCUUUGAGCCACAACAUUCACAGUCAAAUUAUCUCAAACUUCACUGAAAUAGAGAGGACUUCUGUUUUUCUAAGCUCAGAGUGAGGUGCAGGGGAGAGCUGGAGUGUGACUGCAGUUCCCAGUCUUAAACCUCUGCGUUACCAGACCCAUCCUGGGCUGUGUCAGCUCAUGUCACCCCUGUCCAGGUUAUGUGCAAGUCACACUCCUUGGGUCUCAGUUUUAUAUAAAGCUGAGCAAAGAGUUCUUGUAACCUCUCACUAUUCCAUUAGUUUUGUUGGAGAAAAGGAAUAUUAAAAUAAAAAAAAGAGAGAUUCUCACCUUCCUGCUGUUUUUCCAAAAGAAACACCCCAAAACUUUUAAAAAUAAUAUAAUUUUGUUUUCUAAGCAAUACAUAAGGGAUUUUGAAGGGGAAGAAUGGCAAAAAUAAUUCUCUAAGCCAAGUUUAAGGGAUAGUUUUGAAAUAAUCUUGGAUUUGGUUGAAUAAAGCUGUUCUAUUUAAGAGUAAAAUAUA